UGGGGAUUAUUGCACAAUGGGGGAAACCCUGAUGCAGCGACGCCGCGUGAGCGAUGAAGGCUUUCGAGUCGUAAAGCGCUGUCCCAUGGGAAGAUAAUGACGGUACCAUAGAAGAAAGCCCCGGCUAAUUACGUGCCAGCAGCCGCGGUAAUACGUAAGGGGCGAGCGUUGUCCGGAAUUAUUGGGCGUAAAGAGUGCGUAGGCGGCAAAUUAAGUCAGAUGUGAAAACUAAGGGCUCAACCCAUAGAUUGCAUCUGAAACUGAUAUGCUUGAGUCAAGGAGAGGAAAGUGGGAAUCCUAAUGUAGGGGUAGAAUACAUAGAUAUUAGGAGGAAAAACGGUGGCGAAGGCGACUUUCUGGACUUAUACUGACGCUGAGGCACGAAAGCGUGGGGAGCAAACAGG
rnacentral:rRNA from 1 species